CAGUUAUGACACAAAUAGUGAAGUCACCCCACAUCCCGAGAGACAGAGGAUAAGGUUACCAGCUUUGGCCUUUGACAGUGACAAUGGGAGGUAACAGAGAAGUGGACAACUAGUAAAGGAUCUAAACAGGAGAAAAGAUUUGAGGUAAAAGUGGAAGGGAAAAUACAGAAAAUGUCGUGAGAGUGAGGCCCACUGUUUCAAUGUGGUGUAAUCAAUGGAAAUGUGGAGGGAUACGAAAAUUGUUCUGUGCAUUUGUAGUAAUGGCAGUAAAGAAGAGUUUCCAAGACAAUGUCUGAUGUUUCUGUGCUCUUGAACCAGAUUUGCACCAGAGUCUCCAGUAGUUAAUAGGAAUUAUUGGUGAUUUUGCUUGGCUACAGUGUUUUUUGUGUAACUAUUCACCGAUACGGAGUACCAUCACCUCUCUCUUUUUUCUGCUACCCAUGGAAUACAUUUUGUGCUGGCACCCAUAGCACUUCUAUCAAAAUAUGAGUAUUGGCAUAUCAUUUUUAACCAUCCCCCCCUCCCCCAGUGUGGAUGGCUGUACUGGGUUUCAGUACAUAGUUAUUUUAAAAUAUUUAUAGGUUACGUUUCCUAAAUUAUGGUUUGUUUUAAUAGGCUUUAACAUUCUAUUAUAUUGCCUUUUAUUGUUGUGGAGGUUGGGUUUUAUUGUCCUUUUGGUUUGGUUUCUUGAAAAUUCAGUUUUCCCAGUGGCAUUUUCAGACAUUUUCUGCUUUACAAUAAUUUUAUGUGAGGGACUUUCUUGUGUGCUUCCAACCUCAAAGCAGCUUUGAAUGUUAAAAAAAAGAAAAAGGAGGGUGAGGCAGGAAGUGGGAGGGAUUCCACUUCCUGUUUUGCACUUCCAAACAUUUCCAAAGAGAAAUGUUUGUACUUCAUUCAACAGAAAACCUGAGAAACUGAAACAGCUCAUAUUUCUCACCAGAGGGUUAGGAGAUUUAUGACUUCUUUACUGAUAUUAGAGCAUCAAGGUAGGAAGAGGAAAUCCAAGCCAUUCAUCGUUUUCUCUUGGUUUUCUAUAAUGUCUGAAGGCUUACAUAUCUUCAGAUAAUAGUCUCUGACUUUUCUUCCUCCAUUUUGCCCAUAUGCACCUGGGCCAAUCCCUAAAUUGGGCGGCGGCGGGGGGGUUUACACAUAUACAGCAGGCUCCCCACUUUUGACUGCAUCCUCAAAUGGAGAAACAGGGGCAUGGUUGGAGGGGGCUAGGCCAGAGAUUGUGGCCCUGUGUUUCCUCUCACAUGAGUCUAAGAGCAUGAGAGAUGAAUGCCUGAAAAGAGCUCAAGUGUGAUUAAGAAACUGAAGCCAAUAAGUGCUCUGCAAAUAGCUUCAGACUAGAAUUACAGGGUAUACUCAAUGGUCAGGAUUCCAAGGGGGCAGGGUUACUAGGGAGCAGAGAAUAUGUUUAACCACCACCACACUGAUGUCAGAGUGUGCCUCUUUACUUUCUAUUCUACAUAUGUGGCUCCCUUUAUUUUCUGCUAUAUAAUCAUGUCCUUCACUCUGCUCGGAGAACUUAUGUGUUGCACUUGAGAAUAAAGUAGAAGCAAAAUGUGCCCUCCAUGCCAACAGUGUGUGGUUGGGCCUUACUGGCAAUGUCUUUUUUUAAAAAAAAAAUAUGUUUUUAUUAACAAUUUCAGCAUAAGAGAUUAUCAAAACAUAUAAUAUUCAUUAUUCUCCCCCUUUCCCCCCUUCAAACCUUCCCUCCCCCCCCCCCGAGACUUCCCUCAGCUCCUCUCUCUGAUUUUCUCAGAACAUAUUAUUCUCUGCAUGUUGUAAAAUUAUACAUAUCCUUACAGUAUCUAUCUACCAUGUUAGGUAAAGGUACCCCUGCCCGUACGGGCCAGUCGGGUCCGACUCUAGGGUUGUGCGCCCAUCUCACUUAAGAGGCCGGGGGCCAGCGCUGUCCGGAGACAUUUCCGGGUCACGUGGCCAGCGUGACGAAGCUGCUCUGGCGAGCCAGCACCAGAGCAGCGCACGGAAACGCCGUUUACUUUCCCACCGGGGCGGUACCUAUUUAUCUACUUGCACUUUGACGUGCUUUCGAACUGCUAGGUGGGCAGGAGCUGGGACCAAAAGAUGGGAGCUCACCCCGCCGCAGGGAUUCGAACCGCCGACCAUACGAUCGGCAAGUCCUAGGCGCUGAGGUUUUACCCACAGCGCCACCCGCGUCCCUAUCUACCAUGUUAUCAACUAGUAAAUUUGUGUAUGUUUAUUCAAAACCUGUUGUCUUUUAGAUAAGUUGUAAAAAGCUCCCAUUCUUCCUUAAAGUCACAGUUGUCCUUAUCCCACAAUUGGUAUGCCAAUUUAGCCAGCUCUGCGUAGCUCAUCAAUUUUUCUUGCCACUGUUCUUUCGUUGGGGUUUCCUCAUUCUUCCAUCCUUGUGCUAUCAAGACUCUUGCCACUGUUGUAGCAUACAUAAAUAAGUUCUUUGUUUUUCUUGGCAGGUCUUGUCCUACAAUCCCUAACAGAAAUGCUUCUGGUUUUUUUUACAAAUGUCAUUUUAAACAUUUUUUUCAAUUCAUUAUAUAUCAUUUCCCUUUUUUUUUAAACUUCUCUACAUUCCCACCACAUCUGAUAAAAAGUCCCUUCUUUUUCUUUACAUUUCCAACAUGUGUUUGACCCAGUUUUGUACAUUUUUGCUAUCUGUACUGGUGUAAUAUACCAUCUAUACAUCAUUUUCAUAUAAUUUUCUUUCAAAAGAGAACAACCUGUCAAUUUCAAAUUUCUUUUCCACAAUUUUUCCCAGUCCUCAAAUUGUAUAUUAUGUCCUAUAUACUGUGCCCAUUUGAUUAUGACCGAUUUGACCUCCUCCUCUUUUGUGUCCCAUUCUAGCAGAAUGGGCCUUACUAGCAAUGUCCCUGGGGUUGCUUGCACCCGUCUCCAGCAGUCCUUUCGAUAGACAAACCCCCAUUCUCCACACACACAUCCCGUUCAUCAUUAUGAUAGGCAUUUUGCUAGUAUUGUAAUGUACAACAAUGGAUUCUAACUAGCAUUUACUAUGUCAUGUUAAGUGCAGGAUUUGGAGACUGAACCGUCAAUACAUAUCCUUCUUCGUCUGGCACAAAGUGAUUGGCAGAAAUCAAAAUGAAUAGAGGAGGGCUGUUGAAUGAAAGACAACUCCUCUGCCAAUGAAGGUUAAGUCUCCAUAGUACUAAUAGUCUUUUCGGCACUAAGACAGGUUGGUGUUUUGAAAACUACGAAGCAGGAUUUUCCCUCUUGCAGCUGUUGCAGCUAGCAACUAUAAGGGAGCAAGAGGAUUUAGUUCAUGCCUGAUGAUGAAGGACCAAAAUCCAUCCUCCUUUGCUGACAAUGGGUGGAAGAUGGAGCUGAGGUGCUUUGCACAACUCUGUAAUAUCCAAAAUGAAGCAGGAAAUAAAACAGUUCUUUUUAUCUUCAGUGGAAUAUUAGCUUAACACCCCCUACCCCAGGAGAGAUGGCAGAACCUUGGGGGCAAGUGGAAAACAGGUGUCCUAGUUGAAGGCCUUUUGGGUUUGAUGAGAGGGAGGAGAGACAGAAUCCAAGACCCUUAUCCAAUCCACCCCUUAAUUCUUCGCUUUGACUUGAGACCCCUUUAAGCAAUGCCCCAGAUACUUUCCUGAAUCCCAUAAAACUCAUUGACAGUGGCUGUGAUCAGAGCAACUCCUCUCUACAGAACAUCACUUCUUCAGCUGCACAGCCCCAUCUUGAGUCCUAUCGUACUUACAGGACCGCCUCUCCUGGUAUGUCCCGCAGAGGACCCCAAGGUCCAUGAAUAAUAAUAGCUUAAAGGUCCCGGGCCCUAAAGAAGCCAGACUUGAUCUCCUUCCGCAGGGCCUGUAAGACAGAGCUUUUCCACCUGGCCUUCAAUUUGAAUUAGCCUGAUUCUCUACUCCCUUUUCCCUUUCCUUUUCUAUGAAGAAACCCUUCUGGGACCCCAUAUUUAAACUCUUCCCUGGUCUCCUUGCUGGCCCUAGUAGGACCAACUUGGCCAGUUAGCCUUGGUGAUCAUUUGAUGUUUACUGUCUGGGGUUUCCCCAAAAUGAUCCCUUAAUUUUUGAAUUUUAUUGACAUUGAUGCUGCAUUUAUGUUGUAUUUUAUGCUGUUUUUAUGCUGUUUUUAAGUCACAUUUUAAUCAAUGUUUUAUAUUUGCUGUUAGCAGUCCUGAGCCCAGUUUUUACACCAGGAAGGGUAGGGUAUAAAUAAAAAUUAUUAUUAUUAUUAUUAUUUCUUCUUUAGGGUUGGUUUGCUACAAAGAAAAUGGUACACCUGUACCUUUUAUACUUCAGGUGGGGGUUCACAUGACUGAAUGCUCCCCUGUGCCAUAAACAAGCAAAAAAAAAAAAAAAUCUCUACUGAGACUAAAGGGGAAAAAAAUCACAUUGUUAAGGAGGCUUCUAACCUUGCAAUUUUCAAUGCACAAGGAUUAAUAAUAAUAACCAUUGUUAUUGCAAUAAUUUAUUGCCUGCCCUUCACCCUAAAGUCCCAGGGAAGGUUUCAGCAAUUAAAACACAACAUUAAUAUUGCCUCAUAUUGUGUUUUAAUAUCAAACAGUUUAAUUUCAAAAACAAAGUGGGUCCUAACAAUAUUCAUCUCUAGUGUCAAAAGCCAAGUUAAAGAGAUGCGUCUUCAGCAAUGCCCAAAGCUGUAUAAUGAAGCACACAUCUCUGUGAGAAAGUAGUUCCACAACUUACGGGCUGCCUCAGAAAAUGCCCUCUCCACUCUUGCGGCAUAAAAUGGUACAAUCUAGAAACAAGCUUAUCACUUCAGGUGCUGUCUGAGAGAAUCGGACCAAACACAACAGCAUGCUGGGAAAGUGAAAAGCCUCCGAUAAGCUUCCUUUUCUUCAUUUGAAAAUAGUUUUUAUUUGAUUUUGCAAGCGUAAAGUUAUAACAAUGCAUAUCCACCUUUAGAGAUUUCUCUGAAUCUCCAGACUUCCCACCACCCUCUCCAUGGUCCUUAUUGUCAACAUUUUCAGCUGCAUAUUAUUUCAUUAUUCAUAUUUUGUAUCUCUCCAUAUUGUCCAUAGUAAUUGUUACAUUACAAGUGUUGUUAAAAUCCUGCCAAUGUUUUCAUCUGCUUGCAGUGGUCUCCUAAAUAAAUUAUAAUUCCCACCCCCCAUUCUUUCUUGAAGUUUUUGUCUUCUUGGUUCCUGAGCUUUCCAGUCAGUUUUCCAAUUCCACAUAGUCCAACAGUUUAAUUUGCCAUUCUUCUCUGGUAGGGACUUUGUCUUCUUUCCAUCUCCAGGCUAGUGGCAUCCAUGUGGCUGCUGUUGUAUACAUAAAAAGUCAUCUCCUUUUGGGGUGGCAGUACCUACAAUUCCUAAUAAGAAAGCUUCUGGUUUGUUUGUUUUUAAUAAAAGUUAUUUUAAAUAUUUUUUUCAAUUCAUUAUAUAUCAUUUCCCAGAACGCUUUCAUUACCUUAGACGACCACCACAUAUAAUAAAAGGUACCUUCUUUUUCUCUACAUUUCCAGCAGGUAUUUGUACUUGUCUUAUACAUUUUUUGCUAACUUAAAGUAAAGGUAAAGGGACCCUUGAUCAUUAGGUCCAGUCGUGGCCGACUCGGGGGUUGUGGCGCUCAUCUCGCUUUAUUGGCCGAGGGUGCUGGCGUACAGCUUCCGGGUCAUGUGGCCAGCAUGACUAAGCCACUUCUGGCAAACCAGAGCAGCGCACGGAAACACCGUUUACCUUCCUGCCGGAGCGGUACCUAUUUAUCUACUUGAUCUUUGACGUGCUUUCGAACUGCUAGGUUGGCAGGAGCAGGGACCAAGCAACGGGAGCUCACCCUGUCACAGGGAUUUGAACUGCCGACCUUCUGAUUGGCAAGUCCUAGGCUCUGUGGUUUAACCCACAGUGCCACCCGCGUCCCUUUGCUAACUUACUAGGAGUCAAUUACCACCUGUACAUAAUUUUCAUAUAGUUUUCUUUCAGCGUACAACAUGCCGAGAAUUUCAAAUCUGUUUUCCAUAACCUUUCCCAAUCUAAAAGUUGAAUGUUAUGCCCCAAAUCCCUCACCCAGUGUAUCAUUAGCCUCUGAUACGCUUUCAAGGAGCCUCGGAUUUUCGAACCCUACUGCAUGAACUCCUUUUACGACAUCACGAUCCAGCUCCUUCCUAAUUUUAGUACACCUUGUGUUUUACUUACUGUUGCGGGAUGUCUUAUGAAAAGUAUCUUGAGGGGGGUUAUUAUUUCCUUCCCUGUUGGAGUGGGGGAUAACUGAUGACCCAGUUUCAUCCCACAAGAAGUGACCCUUCUGAGUGGUUAGCUUUUAACUUGUAGAGAAGACAGCUUCUGCAAACUGCCUUCCGAGAGCUCUAGAAAGAUAUGCCUGUAUCAGCAACGGGAUUAACUUAGAACCUGGAUUUGAAUCUCUUGGGCAGUUAAUAACAGUCAAAUCCACUGAGACAGCAUGGGCUCAUUUGAUUUCAUAAUCUCACAUCUCUUUAUACCCUGCAGAAACUUUACAUUGUUUUGCUAAGAAAUGAGGAAGCGUUUCAAAAGAGAUCAUCACAGGGGAAAAUAAAUCCACUGAGAGCAGAGCCAUGUGGAUCAAGGUGUUUUUACCUGGCUACUCACCUGAUGUUUAGCUGAUAAAUUGAUGGUUGUAUUGAAAGGAAUUUGCACAACAAUAAUGUGUGCCCUUUCGUAAUUUAACAGAUGAUAGCUACCACUUAUUGCUGAAAGGAAAGGCCAUCUUUAAUAUUAUAUAUUUAAUUUCCUGGUACAGUAACACACCAGAACCAAAACAGCAUACACCCUCCAACAUUUCUCUGAUGAAAAUAGGGGCAUCCUAUUAUUAUUAUUAUUAUUAUUAUUAUUAUUAUUAUUAUUAUUACUACCGUAUUUUUUGCUCUAUAACACGCACCAGACCAUAAGACGCACCUAGUUUUUGGAGGAGGAAAACAAGAAAAAAAAUAUUCUACAUCUGGGAUAGCUGCGCAGCCUGCAUUCGCUCCAUAAGACGCACAGACAUUUCCCCUUACUUUUUAGGAGGGGAAAAGUGAGUCUUAUAGAGCAAAAAAUAUGGUAUUAUUAUUAUUAUUAUUAUUAUUGUUGUUGUUAUUAUUAUUAUUAUAUUUAUACCCCAUCCAACUGACUCAGGGCAGCUUCCAACAUAUAUAAAACCAUAAAAAAAUCUUCCCCAUACAGGAUUGCCUUCAGGCGGCCUGGGGGUCAGAUAACUCCUUACUCUCCAACAUUUCUCCGAUGAAAAUAGGGGCAUCCUAAGGAAAAGUGGGACAUUCUGGGAUCAAAUCAGAUGACUUCUGUAAAUCUGGGACUGUCCAUGGGAAAUGGAGACACUUGUAGGGUCUGAAACAGCUUCAGAAAUGCAAGCGUAUUUUUCAACUAACUGGUAAACUGAAAGUUGCUAUCACUGAUUAGUUUAAUAAGCCAAGGUAUGCAUAGGCUUUGUGUGCUCGCAUGCAACACAUUUGCUCCCACUUCGCUUCAUGUGAGCAAGGAAAUAAACUAGGAAGCCGCAAUUAGCCAUAGCUUCCUGUUAGUUCCAAACAAGGGACUCUGGUCGAUUGCCUUCUAAACAAGCCAGUCUCAGAAGCUCCCUUGACAGCUGCUGGCUCGAUUCCUCCCAGAGGACAGUCUGACAGGCUACUGUCAAUCUGAUGCAGCUGGCCCAGAAACUAGCAAUACGCGUAUAUUAGCGCAUUCCUGUAAGAGCCCUGGGAAGGGAAAGCAGAGCUUAGAUUUUGGGACUCAACACAGAAAAGUUUAUUAAAAGGCAACAACAGCGAAAUCACCUUAGCUACUCAGUAUGGAGUUGUGAAACCUAUCCCAGAAGAGAAGCAGGGUGGCAGUGAGUCAAGGCAUGUGGCAGUGUGGCAAUGCCUAGAUCAAUGAGGGAGAGGGCAGGAUAGUGAGGAGAAAGAGAUGGAGGUCUUUACCUAUUCUUAAACUGCAUAGAGAAGUGGGGAUCUAGAUCGUAAGAAGGAAAUCUGGUGUUCCUAGGCUACUGUAGGCUACUGGGCAGGAUCAAAAGGGCUCUGAGGGGAUCUGGUGGCCCCUGGCCCCAGUAGGGCAUCCACUGGUCAGACAUGCAGGCAGAUGAGAUGCAAAGAUGGGUAUCCAGCUGGAAAUUUCAAGAGUCAAAUCAGACAGUGUGUCUAUGAGCAGGACUGCUCUCAAAGGCAGCCUAAAAUCCAGAAAAAGAGGAUCAGGGCUGGUGAGGAGUGCAGCCUUGGGACAGGGCAUGGGCAGAAAGAGUGCCAAAGGCUGAUUAGAAAGGCUCCUGUGACGUGCUAGGAACGUGGGCUUGGGAAAGCACAUCUUUGUUUGAGACUCUGUCCUGCCAUUUGAUGCCUCGGCCUCAGCCCAGUAUACCUGAAGGAGCGUCUCCACCCCCAUUGUUCAGCCCGGACACUGAGGUCCAGCUCCGAGGGCCUUCUGGCGGUUCCCUCACUGCGAGAAGUGAGGUUACAGGGAACCAGGCAGAGGGCCUUCUCGGUGGUGGCGCCCACCCUGUGGAAUGCCCUCCCGUCAGAUACCAAGGAAAUGAACAACUAUCUAACUUUUAGAAGACAUCUGAAAGCCGCCCUGUUUAGGGAAGUUUUUAAUGUUGAUGUUUUGUUGUGUUUUUAAUAUUCUGUUGGGAGCUGCCCAAAGUGGCUGGGGAAACCCAGCCAGAUGGGUGGGGUAUAAAUAAUAAAUUUCUAUUUCUGUUGUUGUUGUUGUUGUUGUUGUUGUUGUUGUUGUUGUUGUUGUUGUCGUCGUCGUCAUCAUCAUGCCCAGCAGUGUGAAACAGGGCUGUGUUCUCACCCCAGCUCUCUUUGGCAUAUUCUUCUCCCUGUUGUUCUCAUAUGCCUUCAGCUCAACUGAAGACAGUGUGUACAUCCAUUCAAGGAGUCAUGGGGGUCUGUUCAACCUGUCUUGUCUCCACGUCAAGACAAAAGUGUGGCAGGUUCUUAUCUGAGAGAUGUUGUUUGCAAAUGAUGCAGCCUUGACAGUGCACUCUGAGGAAGCUCUGCAGAAACUCAUCAAUUGUUUUGCCCACGCCUGCAUGGACUUCAGCCUCACCAUCAGCCUGGCGAAGACCAACAUCCUGGGUCAGGAUGUUGCCAGCACACCACACAUUAGCAUUGGUGAGCACAAGCUUGAGGUAGCCAUAACCAGCAACCCUUCCAUUGACAGGGCUAGAUAAGGAAGCAAUACAUGGUUGGUUCAUUUGCAUGUGCUUAGACUUAGUUACAGGCUGAUUGCCAGGCUUGGCUCCAUUCCCAACAUCAACGCUCUUGGAUCUCCUUUCCUUGAUUCUUGAGACUCGCUUUGAUCCAUAAGGAAGUGAUCUCAAUAAAUCACUAGGUCAGAGCUGUCUUUUUAAUGUAUACAAAUGUUUUGCAGGGAGACAAUACCUUAAGGGUUAAGGGAAAAUGGAAGCUGCGGGAAGUCUCAUCUCAGAGUUCCCAAAUUGUUUUGUCGAAUUAGCUUUCUAUAGGUGAGGAACAUUUACAAAGAUUUAACCUUCUUUGCCCCAUUCAAAUUAAAGACACCUGCUUUGAAACUUGGAAAAUGUAAGGAUCAAGUCUUAACACUGACUGAGGACUUCUCUGCCCUAUUACAAGUGGUUUGAAGAUAAGUCUAAAACAACCAUAAAACAGGGGAACAUAUGGCAAGGGAAAACACUAUAUGAUAUAUUGAAACUGCAGUAAUGUUUUUCUACGGAGUGAUGUUUCCUUUAAUUUCCUAAAGUAUGCUAGGAAGCAUAUUAAUGUAACAAGAUAGUCACAUUAUGCCAGCUCCCCUUUUAUUACCAAUUUAAUGAUGUACCCUGCUAAUUUGCUUCUCAUAUGUACCUUGUGCAUAGAGGUCCAGUUGGCUUAUAGGAGAAUAGCAAUGCUGUUGUUUUUAUUGGGCCUGGAUGGGGGAGUUGGAAACAGGUAUUAAAUCAAAGGAUGCACAUUUAUAACCAUGUGGAUCUAAUUAAGUCUAUGAGUAAACUUUUGAAAAAAUAAAAGUCCCUUUGUUGAUGGCAUAAGGUGCAUUACAGAAGGUCUUCCUUUGCUUUGCUUUGUUUUUCUUUUGAAAGAGGGCAGAUUCUUUUUUCUGUUUGGCAAUAUUGCACAGUCUGAAGAGCAGUAUUUUAACUUUAUUGAUAUACCAUUCAUCCCAGGCUUGGUUCCAAAGACAUUCCCACCACCCCAGUGUGAAGGUUUCAUAGUGAUGAUGCACUCCCCACAUCUUCCUUAUACUUUGCUGUUUCUAGAGUGCUGAAAGUAACUAGGUGCAAUACCUCAGAGGCUGCUAACCUGUAGCCUUCCAGAUAUUUUUGGACUCCCAUCAGCUCCAGCCAAUGUGGCCAAUGGUCUGGAGAACCAAUGAGAGUUUUAGUGCAACAGCACCUGAAUCUGUGCAUAAACAAAAAACAAGAGGAUAAGAGCAUAAGAAUAGCCUGUGGGGUCAGGAGAGUGGCUCACCUAAUCCAGCAUCCAGAUACCUGUGAGAAACCAGCAAGCAGGAUCCAGACCUCCUGUAGUUUUCAGAAGCACUAUUGGCUUCCAGUUUGUUGACAUGGCAGAGCAAGGCAAUCAUGGCUAGUAGCCAUCAAUAGCCCUCUCCUCCAAGAAUUUGUCUAAUCGUCUUUCAAAGCCACCUAGGUUGGCAGCCAUCACUGCCUCCCUACUAAACAAAGCAGAUGCACAAGGGAAUGGAGGACAAAGGUAGAGGAAUGGUGGGCAUCUUGAGAAUGUGAGUUCUUACCAGGCAUUUCAAUCCACUUAGGGAACACCUUGCUGGUGUUCUUGCUGGGAGGAAGCUGUCUGUGACCUCUGAUUGAUUUUCUUGAUUCUCUAACCAAAGUGUUCUUCCUCUCACUUCUAGAUUUGCUGCAGUGGAAGGGGAAGGAAACUCCAUGACACUGAUGGUCCUUUAGCUGACAGCUGUGGUACCAGGCCCCUUGCUAAUGCUCUUGCUGGCCCAUUGCAGCUGCUCCUGACUUCCUCGUUGGUGGCUGGAACCAGAUUUCCUCUUGCCUGCACUGCAACCACAAGGCAACAGUGAUAUUGACAAUUCUAACUAGUGCUGUUUCAAAAAUUCCUCCCCUACACACACAGAGACACACACACACACAAACUGAUACCAUUCACUAUCAGUUAAUGAGAAAAUAAAUUAUGUUUGGGAAGAAAGGAAGUGAAAUUCUUAUUGUUAAAGUGCAUACAGUGGUACCUUGGGUUACAUACACUUCAGGUUACAUACGCUUCAGGUUACACACUCCGCUAACCCAGAAAUAGUGCUUCAGGUUAAGAACUUUGCUUCAGGAUAAGAACAGAAAUCAUGCUCCGGCGGCGUGGCGGCAGCAGGAGGCCCCAUUAGCUUCAGGUUAAGAACAGUUUCAGGUUAAGAACAGACCUCCGGAACGAAUUAAGUACUUAACCCGAGGUACCACUGUAUUUUUGUUGCUUUCGAGGCUGCCGGAGCAUGUUGGUGAGUGUUCUGCAAGUAAUCUCACCAGCAGUCUGUAUCCUACACCUGCCCUCGGUGUCCACAUUUCCCCCAAAUCCCAUGACAUCCUCCACUGGACAUCCUUGGAAGCAGGUCAAAAUGGAGAGGCUACUUUCUGUGUUCCCAGCCACUGUUAGUCCUGCUUUUGAAAAACAUGAAGUCUUUCUACUUUUAAAGAAACCAAUAUGGAUUUUUUGAAAAAAGGUAAACGGAGUGUACUGAUCUCGGAUGCUUGGUAACCAACCUCCUAUGCUUCAAUCUGAGUUCCAGGGAAGAGACUGUGUGGUUAACAUCUCCUAUGGAGCUUUUCAAAUUAGGAAGUUCAGACAGCCAAGAAGUCUUCUGAAUAGGGAUAGGCGAGAAAUGCAAUUUUUGCAUGUGAAUGAGAAAAUACCAAAUUCGCACUGCUCAAAUGAGUAUUUGAACUAAGUCGGGUAAAAGCCACCUUCCUUCCUUAGAUGGAGUUUAGAUGGUCUGCCUCUGAUGAAAGUAGUCCAGGUAGCUAAUUGGAAAGUUAUUUAUGGGAUAGUUCUAUUCUGAAAGAGCUGUCACGUUCAGACCAACUGAACUAUCAUGAAAGGGGCUCAGGAGGUAGACUGGAGAUGAAACUAAGGAUGUUUGCUUAUUUAUUUCAUUCUUCUCAGGGGUUCAGAACCCUAGAUUCACUAGGUGGUGCUGUUGGUCUUUGUCAUGGGUGAGGUGCAAAUAAUGUUGUUGUUGUUGUUGUUGUUGUUGUUGUUGUUGUUGUUGUUGUUGUUGUUACAGGACUCCUCUCUUGUGGCCUUCAUACAUACCUGAAAUUCCUUUUUGCUUCUCCAAGCCUUUUCUUGACUUUCCUGGGAACUCCACUGGUAACAUUUAUUUUUUUAAAAAGUUAAACGACUGGAAACUGUCUUCUGGGAGCAUGCUCCAAAAGCCAGAAUGAAGGAUUUUGGUAGAUCAAUCACCUGCUUUUAAAAUGGCCCAUUAAUUUAUUUAAUUGCUUAUUGUUUAAAAGGGUCUGUUAAUUCAUCAAAUUUAAAUAAAUAUGCACGUCACUAAAAAAGAAAAUCAAGAGUCUUUUUUGACAUAUUGGUAUGAAAAUUUAAGAUGCAAUAAAGAAAUUACCAUUGGCUGCAAGAAGAAAAGCUUUAUUACACUUAAAUAAUGGGGCCACGCUUGCCUCAAAAAAGGAACAUUUGUACAGUAAACUAUCUUCUACACACACUCUCACUUCUCUCUAUGCUCCAUCCAGCCUAAAACUUCCUAUCUACAUUUCCUGUCUGAUUUGAUGAAGAUGAUGGACUUUUCAGAGCUAGCCGACCUGAUUGGAAGAGUCCACGACCAGAAGGAGGAGGAGUACCAGGAGGAAUGGAUGAAAUUCAAAGACUGUUUAGUUAAAUAUACUAAGAUAACUUAAUUGGAAAAACUUGCAAAUACCAGAUAGGCUUAGGAUUUUAAUGUGAUGUUAGAGAAUAAUAUGUUUAAAGUCAAAAUGAAAACAAAUAAAGAUGUUAAGUGGCCAAGUUAAUUUUAUGAGAAAAUUGGUUUUGGAAAACUGUUACAAUGAUAUACACUGAAAUUCAACCAGGGGGAUUUGAGGAAGUCACUUAACGAUGUUACCAAGAUUGGAUCAAGUACAGUUAAGAUGUAUGUAUGUUUGUUGGUUUAAAUUUUUGGAAAAUCAAUAAAAAAAUUGGGG